rnacentral:rRNA from 1 species
CUCGUAGCUUGCUAUGAGAACAAUUAGUGGCAGACGGGUGAGUAAUGCAUAGGAAUCUACCUAGUAGUAUAGGAUAGCCACUAGAAGUGGUGGGUAAUACUGUAUAAUCCCUGCGGGGGAAAGAUUUAUCGCUACAUGAUGAGCCUAUGUUAGAUUAGCUAGUUGGUGGGGUAAUGGCCUACCAAGGCAGUGAUCUAUAGCUGGUCUGAGAGGAUGAUCAGCCACACUGGAACUGAGACACGGUCCAGACUCCUACGGGAGGCAGCAGUGGGGAAUAUUGGACAAUGGGCGCAAGCCUGAUCCAGCUAUGCCGCGUGAGUGAGGAAGGCCUUAGGGUUGUAAAACUCUUUCAGUGGGGAAGAUAAUGACGGUACCCACAGAAGAAGUCCCGGCAAACUCCGUGCCAGCAGCCGCGGUAAUACGGAGGGGGCAAGCGUUGUUCGGAAUUAUUGGGCGUAAAGGGCAUGUAGGUGGUUUGGUUAGUUAAAGGUGAAAUGCCAGGGCUUAACCCUGGAGCUGCUUUUAAUACUGCCAGACUGGAGUCCGGGAGA